UAGGGAAUCUUCCGCAAUGGGCGAAAGCCUGACGGAGCAACGCCGCGCGAGUGAUGAAGGUCUUCGGAUCGUAAAACUCUGUUAUUAGGGAAGAACAAAUGUGUAAGUAACUAUGCACGUCUUGACGGUACCUAAUCAGAAAGCCACGGCUAACUACGUGCCAGCAGCCGCGGUAAUACGUAGGUGGCAAGCGUUAUCCGGAAUUAUUGGGCGUAAAGCGCGCGUAGGCGGUUUUUUAAGUCUGAUGUGAAAGCCCACGGCUCAACCGUGGAGGGUCAUUGGAAACUGGAAAACUUGAGUGCAGAAGAGGAAAGUGGAAUUCCAUGUGUAGCGGUGAAAUGCGCAGAGAUAUGGAGGAACACCAGUGGCGAAGGCGACUUUCUGGUCUGUAACUGACGCUGAUGUGCGAAAGCGUGGGGAUCAAACAGG
rnacentral:rRNA from 1 species